rnacentral:lncRNA from 1 species
UUUGCGUCGGACUGUGCACGAUCCUGGUGGUCCUCAUCGUCCUCCUCGGCGUCGCGACGCUCAUCACCUAUUUAGUCCUGCGUCCACGCACCACGCACUACGACAUCGUCUCCGCCAGAGUUCCUGCCCUGGCCGUUAGCGGCACCACAUCCAGUCCCACUUCCACGUCAACUGUCACUGCAGAAUUCACCUACGGGGUGCAAGCACGCAACCCCAACGGCAAGGUCGUCAUGGAGUAUCAGAAAUUCAACGUUCUCACCACGUACCUCGGCACAGACAUCGGCCACAGCAGCGUCCCCGGGUUCAUCCUCGGCGAAAAGGGCUCAUACGUAUUCCAAGUGACCACCUCUUCUGCCUACACAAAUGGUCAGGUUAAUAACAUCGUCGGCAACACAUUGAAGGCCGACAUCGCGAGCGGCUCCGUCAACGUGCAAGUUAAGAUUGACAUUAGGGCGCGAGCGCAUAUCGGUGGUUACACUUCCUUUUGGAUGUGGCUCCACACUCUUUGCCAGGUGACUGUCAUUCCUCCGUCAGGAAGCAACCCCGGAGUAUUUGUGCGGUCGAAAUGCUCGGAUUAGUGUUUCUCAUAGAUCUUAAUUUCUUGCCGUGCAAUACCAAUUUGGAGAUCAGCUUUAGAGAAUCAAACUGCCGAAUCAUGUACAGCAUCCCUCUCUAUUGCUCUUCGUUCACCUCGCGUCAGUAGACACCAUAGCUGUGAAAAUUCUGUACAGUUGCUGAAACGUCCAUCAACACAUUUUAUGAAGGUUUGCAGUGUUGUAACGAUCGGAUUCCAGAGCCAGAUGACGUCGUCGUCGUUUUGGGAAGGAUUCUGCUACUGGGCUGGCUGUCGAUCGAGUUAAAUGCUAGUUGAUUAAGCCAAAAUAGAAGUUGUUAUUGGUGGAACUUAGGAUCAAACCGUGGGUUGUCCAUCGUGGCCUGCGCAAUGUGAUUGUGUCUGCAAUCUUGUAAAAACGCUCGACACCCAACAGUGUGAAAAAUCUUAUUUGUACACCUACCACAUUCUCGUAUCGGUUCCUGCGAUGAGCAAAAGCGUGGACCCUUUCAAAAGCAUCACUAGAAAAAGUGACGACGAAACGGAAAGUGCAAAAUAAAUUCUAAUCUGCUGCUGGAGUUGUGAACCCUAACAAACGGAAUCAAUCAGUCAAUCAUAAUAAUAAUAAAAAUAUACUUGUGAGUUGGCGUGGAUGCCGCAAAGGGCGCCGCAGUGAUGUGGUUCAACGACAUUAUUUCUUCUCGGGAGGAGGAAAUUCAUUCGCGGUCCCACUCUCUCCGAAUCCCCGGAAGCAUUGGUUCGUCUCGAGGAUGUGUAUAUUUCCAUGUUCCUUAUGUUUCGUUAGCUUCUCCUUCUUCAAAUUGUCAUGUCCAAACUGUGAAUCCUGAGCUGUGCCGCUCAAACCCUAAUCGAUGGCAAAUGACUAGAGCAUGUGGUAGAUUUUUUACUUUGUUGUGGAACUUCUUUGGUGGUGAACUCACUCGGGUCCUUGCUUUGCUUCUACGAAAAGAAAUUGUUUUGUUAAGUUUGGAAUUGAAUAGUUUACAUUGUAUUUGGAAUAUUAUCAAGAUAAUAUAUUGAUCAAUUUAGAAAAAAAUUAUAGUAUUGAACACAAUCAAUUAAUGUUUAUUAUUUGCAAUGAAAAAUUGACGUCAGUCC